UGGGGAAUUUUGGACAAUGGGGGAAACCCUGAUCCAGCCAUCCCGCGUGUGCGAUGAAGGCCUUCGGGUUGUAAAGCACUUUUGGCAGGAAAGAAACGUCAUGGGUUAAUACCCCGUGAAACUGACGGUACCUGCAGAAUAAGCACCGGCUAACUACGUGCCAGCAGCCGCGGUAAUACGUAGGGUGCAAGCGUUAAUCGGAAUUACUGAGCGUAAAGCGUGCGCAGGCGGUUCGGAAAGAAAGAUGUGAAAUCCCAGAGCUCAACUUUGGAACUGCAUUUUUAACUACCGGGCUAGAGUGUGUCAGAGGGAGGUGGAAUUCCGCGUGUAGCAGUGAAAUGCGUAGAUAUGCGGAGGAACACCGAUGGCGAAGGCAGCCUCCUGGGAUAACACUGACGCUCAUGCACGAAAGCGUGGGGAGCAAACAGG
rnacentral:rRNA from 1 species